GCCCACGUGGCGGAAUUGGUAGACGCGCCGGAUUCAAAAUCCGGUUCCCUCGCGGGAGUGCCGGUUCGAUUCCGGCCGUGGGUACCA
rnacentral:tRNA from 1 species